rnacentral:rRNA from 1 species
GGGCCGUGCCGGCGCCGCAGUCUCCGCACGACCCGACGCACUUCCUCCCGCCCCAAGGACGCCGUAGCCGGUUGGGUAGCUGCGCGAGUCGGCCAUAAGGACGGGCACCGGAAGGUGGCCAGUGGCGUUCCCCGUGUUCGUCGCUGGUCGUUAUCCAGCCCGCCCGUGGCACGACACCCGACCGAGGUCGCAGGUCCCGGUUAGGACCUCGCCGUCCCCUCCCCCGUGGUCGAGCAGGAACGCCAGCAGGCGCUUCUCCGUUCCGUGGUUCCACUCUCCGAGUGGACCGUGGUCCGGGGACGCUGUUGGCGCGGACGUUUCCUGCGUGGGGUUUUCCGGCGGCUUACGGCGAGUAGGUCGGUCACCCACCCGACCCGUCUUGAAACACGGACCAAGGAGUCUAACAUGUGCGCGAGUCAUUGGGUCUUGUUCAGGCCCAGAGGCGCAAUGAAAGUGAAGGCCGUCCUCGACGUCGGCCGAGUUGGGACUCUCC